UAUUUGUCAAGGAUUGAUCCAGCAAUCCUUUACCAGUUAAAUGAAUCACUUGAUAAUUAUUUAAUAAUGCGUCUAAAUUAUCUCUAAUAAUAUCAUUUAACUUUUUACUUCCAAGGCUACCACCCAUGAUUAAUAAAACCUUUUUAUUAUCUUUAAAUUCUGUUAACUGAUAGCC
rfam:Staphylococcus cohnii subsp. cohnii strain 073AN genome assembly, contig: ERS576551SCcontig000002